UCGGCCGCGGUGCCACCGGGAUCCCACCGGGAUCGGCCGCAGCACCGCCGGGACGUUCUUGGGACCGUGUUGGGAUCAUGGCAGGGAUGGUCGGAGGCACGCCAGAAUCGGCCUGGGUGUCACUGGGAUCCCACCGGGAUCCAGGAAGGGUCAGCGGGGCACACCGGGAUCAGCCGCGGGACUGCCGGCAUCUGCUCCAGGUCAGCCCUGCACCUCUCCAGGUCAGCCCUGCACCAUGAGGAUCUCCUCCUGGUCAGAGCUGCACCUCCAGGAUCUCCUCCAGGUCAGCCCUGCACCUCCAGGAUCUCCUCCAGGUCAGCCCUGCACCUCCAGGAUCUCCUCCUGGUCAGAGCUGCACCUCCAGGAUCUCCUUCAGGUCAGCCCUGCACCUCCAGGAUCUCCUCCUGGUCAGCCCUGCACCUCCAGGAUCUCCUCCUGGUCAGAGCUGCACCUCCAGGAUCUCCUCCAGGUCAGCCCUGCACCUCUCCAGGUCAGCCCUGCACCUCCAGGAUCUCCUCCAGGUCAGAACUGCACCUCCAGGAUCUCCUCAGGAUCACGCCUGGGUCACUCCCAGGAUCACCAGGAUCAGCCAUGGGAUCACUAAAUCUCCAUGGGAUCACCAGGACCAUACCAGGCUGACCCUUGGGAUCACCAGGGCCAUACCAGGUCAUUUCCCAUCUUCCCGGUCCCUGGGAGAGCUCCUCCCUGGAAUGGUGCUGGAGCACUUCAGGAGAGCCAGCUGCUUCUGGGAUGCCUGUUCACAUGGAAUCCUCCAAACCACAUUUACACAUUCCAAUAUUGAGAUUUCAGGGAUUUUCCCAGAUUUGGGAGCAUGGUGUGGGCAGGAGGGACCCACAGGGACGAGGUGGGAAGCAGAGGAGGGGUGGAUAUAGGGAAGGACAGAGGAAGGUUUAGUUCCAAUCUUGUGCAAGCGUUUUCCUGGGAAAUCCAGCCUGGCCUGAAUUCCCAGCAGCUUUUGGAACCUCUGGAAUUGGAUCAUGACAAGGAAAAGGUGAUUUCUGGGAUCCAACAAAUUCAGACAAACUGAGCCCAUGGAUCCAUUCCCUUUCCCAGUUCUCCAUGGAACUGGGGGCGGCCUGGGGAGAAUCUGGGGUGCCUGAAUUCAGGAUGCUCCCACCAUCCGUGGCUGCUGCUGCUUUUGGCAGCAGGAUGUUCCUGACAGCUGGGGGUGCUGACUUUGGGGCGUUCAGCAUUCUCCUGCCAGAUCCCAAACCCUUCUGAGGGAGCUGCAGGGGCUCAUCCUGGACAAGAGGAGGCUCAGGGGGCACCUUCUGGCUCCUGCAGUUCCCUGCAAGGAGGGAGGUUGGAGCCAGGAGGGGUCGGGCUGUGCUCCCAGGGAGCAGCACCAGAGGGAAGGGCCUCAAGGGCAGGUUCAGGUGGGAUAUUGGGAAUGUUCCUCCUGGAAAGGGCUCUCCGAGAGAGAGAGAUCUCAAACUCUGCAGAGCUGCCCAGGGCAGGGGUGGGGUGCCCAUCCCUGCAGGGAUUGAAAAGCCCUGUGGAUGUGGCCCUUGGGGACAUGGUCAGGGGUGGCAUUGGCAGUGCUGAGGAAUGGUUGGACUUGAUCUUGGAGGGCUUUUCCAACCAAAACCAUUCCGUGAUUCCCCAGAAAUGAAUCUUUGUUCCAUUCCCUUCUCCAACAGGCCAAGCCAUGACUUGUUGCUGCAAUGGGAGCAAGCCCAGGAGAGUGCAGCUCCAGGACAGAGGGAAUCAGGAGCAACCUGGGUUACCCCCAGCAGCCUCUGUGCUGUGAUCCUGCCUUUUCCAGAGGCUCAGGAACACCACUGGAGCUGCCUGGCUCCUGUCCUGUCCAAACAGCGCCAUCGAUCCCCAGUAACUCCCUCCUGCCCAAAGGUUGUGUGGGUCGCUUCUCCUGCUGUUUAUUUUUAUAAAUCGAUGGUGGACGCGAGCAGGGGGCCCUUGCUGAGGUGCCAUUCCUUGGGGAAUGCUGGGAUGCAGGCUAUGAGAUGGACAGGAAGGUCAGGGCUUUCUUCUUGUCAGCAGCCGGGAGCAGUCCGGGUUUCCUGUGCAUGCUCUGGAGGGAAUCCAGGGAGCUGCUGAAGGUUUGCUGGGAACAGGGAACACAAAGGGGUCACUGAGCUCAGCUCGGCUCUCACAGCACACUUCUCACCUGUAAAAACUUAUUUUUCUCAAAAAUAAAACCAAAUGCCAUCUCAGAC